rnacentral:rRNA from 1 species
AAAUUGAAGAGUUUGAUCAUGGCUCAGAUUGAACGCUGGCGGCAGGCCUAACACAUGCAAGUCGAACGGUAACAGGAAACAGCUUGCUGUUUCGCUGACGAGUGGCGGACGGGUGAGUAAUGUCUGGGAAACUGCCCGAUGGAGGGGGAUAACUACUGGAAACGGUAGCUAAUACCGCAUAACGUCGCAAGACCAAAGAGGGGGACCUUCGGGCCUCUUGCCAUCGGAUGUGCCCAGAUGGGAUUAGCUAGUAGGUGGGGUAACGGCUCACCUAGGCGACGAUCCCUAGCUGGUCUGAGAGGAUGACCAGCCACACUGGAACUGAGACACGGUCCAGACUCCUACGGGAGGCAGCAGUGGGGAAUAUUGCACAAUGGGCGCAAGCCUGAUGCAGCCAUGCCGCGUGUAUGAAGAAGGCCUUCGGGUUGUAAAGUACUUUCAGC